UUACCGGUGAAUCUGCCAGUAGUUCAUAUGCUUGUCUCAAAAGAUUAAGCCAUGCAUGUCUAAGUGCAAGCCACAUUAAGGUGAAACCGCGAAUGGCUCAUUAAAUCAGUUAUGGUUCCUUAGAUAAUACACCAAGUUACUUGGAUAACUGUGGUAAUUCUAGAGCUAAUACAUGCAAACAGAGUUCCAACUCGAGAGGGAAGGAACGCUUUUAUUAGAUCAAAACCAAUCGGCCGCCACCUUCGGGGGGCGCGUCGCAUUGAAUCUGGUGACUCUGAAUAACCACUAAGCAGAUCGCACGGUCUCGUACCGGCGACGCAUCUUUCAAAUGUCUGCCUUAUCAACUGUCGAUGGUAGGUUCUGCGCCUACCAUGGUUGUAACGGGUAACGGGGAAUCAGGGUUCGAUUCCGGAGAGGGAGCCUGAGAAACGGCUACCACAUCCAAGGAAGGCAGCAGGCGCGCAAAUUACCCACUCCCGGCACGGGGAGGUAGUGACGAAAAAUAACGAUACGGGACUCAUCCGAGGCCCCGUAAUCGGAAUGAGCACAACUUAAAUACUUUAACGAGUAUCCAUUGGAGGGCAAGUCUGGUGCCAGCAGCCGCGGUAAUUCCAGCUCCAAUAGCGUAUAUUAAAGUUGUUGCGGUUAAAAAGCUCGUAGUUGGACUUGUGUCCCACGCCGUCGGUUCGUCGCCCGUCGACGUAACCGCACGGUUAUGUGAGUGGGACGUCCAGCCGGUGAGGCGCAGGUACCGUCGCGGACGCGCCCGCGCGCUUGUCGCGUCGUCCGCCUCGUGCGUGACGGUCGCGCUCGCGGUCUGCGCGGCGUCGCCUCGCGGCGGGGUGCCGGCCUCAUAUUACUCGUCUCGGUGCUCUUCAUCGAGUGUCUUGACGGGCCGGCUCGUUUACUUUGAACAAAUUAGAGUGCUCAAAGCAGGCUCAGACGCCUGAAUAUUGUGUGCAUGGAAUAAUGGAAUAGGAUCUCGGUUCUAUUUUGUUGGUUUUCUGAACCAGAGAUAAUGAUUAAUAGAGACAGACGGGGGCAUUCGUAUUGCGACGUUAGAGGUGAAAUUCUUGGAUCGUCGCAAGACGAACCGAAGCGAAAGCAUUUGCCAAGAAUGUUUUCUUUAAUCAAGAACGAAAGUUAGAGGUUCGAAGGCGAUCAGAUACCGCCCUAGUUCUAACCAUAAACGAUGCCAACUAGCGAUCCGCCGGUGUUCCUCCGAUGACCCGGCGGGCAGCUUCCGGGAAACCAAAGUGUUUGGGUUCCGGGGGAAGUAUGGUUGCAAAGCUGAAACUUAAAGGAAUUGACGGAAGGGCACCACCAGGAGUGGAGCCUGCGGCUUAAUUUGACUCAACACGGGAAACCUCACCAGGCCCGGACACUGGAAGGAUUGACAGAUUGAUAGCUCUUUCUUGAUUCAGUGGGUGGUGGUGCAUGGCCGUUCUUAGUUGGUGGAGCGAUUUGUCUGGUUAAUUCCGAUAACGAACGAGACUCUGGCCUGCUAACUAGUCGCGAUAACGACAUCCGCAUUCGUGCUGUCGGCGACAAAUAUAAACUCUUCUUAGAGGGACAGGCGGCUUCUAGCCGCACGAGAUUGAGCAAUAACAGGUCUGUGAUGCCCUUAGAUGUUCUGGGCCGCACGCGCGCUACACUGAAGGAAUCAACGUGUGUUUUCCCUUGGCCGAGAGGUCCGGGUAACCCGCUGAACCUCCUUCGUGCUAGGGAUUGGGGCUUGCAAUUGUUCCCCAUGAACGAGGAAUUCCCAGUAAGCGCGAGUCAUAAGCUCGCGUUGAUUACGUCCCUGCCCUUUGUACACACCGCCCGUCGCUACUACCGAUUGAAUGAUUUAGUGAGGUCUUCGGACCGUCGCGCGGCAGCGCGCGCAAGCGCAUGUCGAUGUUCGACGGAAAGAUGAUCAAACUUGAUUAUUUAGAGGAAGUAAAAGUCGUAACAAGGUUUCCGUAGGUGAACCUGCGGGAAGGAUCAUUUUUUUCUCCUC
rnacentral:rRNA from 1 species